GACACAGAGCUAUGCCGUAGUCGGAUCUUGGAGUGAAGAAUUUUCAGCAGCCAACGUCCCUUAAUGGCAGCAAGUUCCAGCCAGCAACUCUUUGGUUUCAGUACAAACUAGUGGUUGUGAAUUAAGGACUUUGACACAAGACGAGCAUCUCGAUGUUGGAUUUGAUUGGAUUGAACCUGCUUUUGGAGGUGGGUACCUCUUGACUUAUCUUUUAUGAUAUUGUCAUUGGAUAUGCAUAGUAUUUUAUAACUACAUGCAAUGAACAUGCUUGCCUUUGGUAUGUCACUGUUUGAUAUCCAUAGCAUGUUA